rnacentral:tRNA from 1 species
GCCAGUAUGGUGGUUAUGACACUCGGCUUGUAAUCGAGUGGGCUCGGGUUCGAAUCCCGAAAAAGGCA